rnacentral:rRNA from 1 species
GACGAACGCUGGCGGCGUGCUUAACACAUGCAAGUCGAACGGGCCUUGUCCCCUUUUUUUUUGGGGGUGGGGUUAGUGGCGAACGGGUGAGUAACACGUGAGUAACCUGCCCCUCACUUCUGGAUAACCGCUUGAAAGGGUGGCUAAUACGGGGUGUUCUGGCCUGCUCGCAUGGGUGGGUUUGGAAAGAUUCGACCGGUUUGGUUGCUUUGGUGGGGGAUGGGCUCGCGGCCUAUCAGCUUGUUGGUGGGGUGAUGGCCUGCCAAGGCUUUGACGGGUAGCCGGCCUGAGAGGGUGGGCGGUCACACUGGGACUGAGACACGGCCCAGACUCCUACGGGAGGCAGCAGUGGGGAAUAUUGCACAAUGGGCGCAAGCCUGAUGCAGCGACGCCGCGUGAGGGAUGGAGGCCUUCGGGUUGUGAACCUCUUUCGCCAGUGAAGAAGGUCCUGCUCUUUGUGGUGGGGUUGACGGUAGCUGGGUUAAUGAAGCGCCGGCUAACUACGUG